CUCGAAUGAGUUGGUCCUACCAGCUCGUCCGCACUUGUGUGUCGCAACAUUUGACUAGAUCUGCCAGGACUGAUCAUCGUUUGAUGCCUCGUGCACAGUCUUCCUAAAAAUUUCAUUGUAAUUACUUCGUCAACUGAGCUGAUCUACGUCGCUCUCGCCAGGAAAAAGAGCAUCUCCCGUAAGCAGCUCCGCGUAAAGACAACCUACCGCCCAAACGUCGACCGCUUUGCCAUAUCGUGCAUCACCAACAAGAAGCUCCGGUGCUCGAUACCACCUUGUUGCUACGUAAUCCGUACAGGAUUCAUUGACGCUAUUUGUGAAACGUGCAAACCCGAAAUCACAGAGUUUGAUCACUCCGUUCGGAGAUACAAGAAUAUUUUCAGGCUUGAUAUCACGAUGCAUUACCUAAUAAGGAUCAGUGUUCGAAUUAAAAAUCCUUUAAUCUCGAUUUAGUUGAAUUACCACCUAAGUAUGUAUUAUACGGGCAUUUAUACGGAAUAAGAUAAAGCUAAAAAAAGAUCAUUAGAUAUGUAUAUUCCACGUGCUACAAAAAUAUCUUAUCAACUAAAUCGAAACUAAGCGAUAGCAACAGGCGAACCUUUUGAAAGCUGUACAAUCUUUCUCGUCCACUUACAUUUCUGCUAUGACAGAAGCUCAAACCGCGAAGGAUUUGAUAAACAUGUCGCCUGGACACUUCCCAGCCUAGACCGUUUCCGAUACGUUCCAGCUCAUCCAGCAAGGUGUGAUCCAAAUACUCGAAGACAAGAUAGAAUCGUUUCCUUUGGCGGAACACUUCGAUCAUAUUUACUAGAUUAUCGUGACACAAUUGCUACAAAUACAUGCGCCAUUCUCAUUCUCGUUCUUACUGACUCUAACGGAAAGAAAUUUAAUUCGAUGUCGACUGUUAAUCAGUCUCGAAGUCCUAUUAAUCGCAAUGUGAAUUUCUUUUUAAUACAC